ACGAACGCUGGCGGCGUGCUUAACACAUGCAAGUUGAACGGAAAGGCCCUGCUUUUGUGGGGUGCUCGGGUGGCGAACGGGUGAGUAACACGUGAGUAACCUGCCCUUGACUUUGGGAUAACUUCAGGAAACGGGGGCUAAUACCGGAUAGGAGCUCCUGCUGCAUGGGGGGGGUUGGAAAGUUUCGGCGGUGGGGGAUGGACUCGCGGCUUAUCGGCUUGGUGGUGGGGUAGUGGCUUACCAAGGCUUUGACGGGUAGCCGGCCUGAGAGGGUGACCGGCCACAUUGGGACUGAGAUACGGCCCAGACUCCUACGGGAGGCAGCAGUGGGGAAUAUUGCACAAUGGGCGGAAGCCUGAUGCAGCAACGCCGCGUGCGGGAUGACGGCCUUCGGGUUGUAAACCGCUUUCGCCUGUGACGAAGCGUGAGUGACGGUAAUGGGUAAAGAAGCACCGGCUAACUACGUG
rnacentral:rRNA from 1 species